rnacentral:rRNA from 1 species
GGAGGAAAAGAACCAACAGGGAUUGCCCCAGUAACGGCGAGUGAAGCGGCAACAGCUCAAAUUUGAAAUCUGGCCCCAGGCCCGAGUUGUAAUUUGCAGAGGAUGCUUUUGGCGCGGUGCCUUCCGAGUUCCCUGGAACGGGACGCCAUAGAGGGUGAGAGCCCCGUACGGUUGGACACCAAGCCUUUGUAAAGCUCCUUCGACGAGUCGAGUAGUUUGGGAAUGCUGCUCAAAAUGGGAGGUAUAUUUCUUCUAAAGCUAAAUAUAGGCCAGAGACCGAUAGCGCACAAGUAGAGUGAUCGAAAGAUGAAAAGCACUUUGAAAAGAGGGUUAAACAGCACGUGAAAUUGUUAAAAGGGAAGCGCUUGUGACCAGACUUGCGUCCGGUGAAUCACCCAGCUCUCGCGGCUGGGGCACUUCGCCGGCACAGGCCAGCAUCAGCUUGCCGUCGGGGACAAAAGCUUCAGGAACGUAGCUCUCUUCGGGGAGUGUUAUAGCCUGUUGCAUAAUACCCUUCGGCGGGCUGAGGUACGCGCUCCGCAAGGAUGCUGGCGUAAUGGUCAUCAGCGACCCGUCUUGAAACACGGACCAAGGAGUCAACCUUAUGUGCGAGUGUUUGGGUGUUAAACCCCUACGCGUAAUGAAAGUGAACGCAGGUGAGAGCUUCGGCGCAUCAUCGACCGAUCCUGAUGUUCUCGGAUGGAUUUGAGUAAGAGCAUAUAGGGUUGGACCCGAAAGAAGGUGAACUAUGCGUGUGUAGGGUGAAGCCAGAGGAAACUCUGGUGGAGGCUCGCAGCGGUUCUGACGUGCAAAUCGAUCGUCAAACAUGCGCAUGGGGGCGAAAGACUAAUCGAAC